rnacentral:rRNA from 1 species
AUGUCAUGUGCAUCAUCCAUGCUCAUUGUUUGCACACACGACAUGCUUGCCAUGAUUCCUUCUAGUAUGUUGCAUCUUCGCACUACUAGGUUGCUUGACUUGAUCACUAUGAUUGCUUUGUUUGUCGCAUCACCCAUUUCCAACUCUUACUCGAUUUCUUGGGUUGAUGACAUAUAUGCUCUUGCCUCUCACAUGAUUUAUCUUGAUCAUUGUCCCUUGUCUCCAUUUGUGGCUUCCUUCAUAUCCACUUGUAUUGAGUGCCAACUUGCUAUGCUUAUUGAUCAUGGAGACUUGGACAUAUUACUUGUGAUGCAUGCCUGUUUCAUUGAGCCUAUUGUCUUUGGUUGUUCUCGCAUCAUAUGCCUCCAUACUAUGAAAUGCUCCCUUGUCCUUUCUCAUGAUGAGCAUGAUGCAUACACUUGUUGGGUAUCAUACCACACGAAUGAUAGGUUUUGCACUUCUGCUAACCUCAUUUGUUUUUUUAAGUGUUUGUCAUGUUCCUUCAUUUUGGAGGCUUCAGAAGGCGGUGCCGUUAUGUGA